UACGUAGGGGGCUAGCGUUGUCCGGAAUUAUUGGGCGUAAAGAGCUCGUAGGCGGUCUGUCGCGUCUGGUGUGAAAACUCAGGGCUUAACCCUGAGCUUGCAUUCGGGUACGGGCAGACUAGAGUGCGGUAGGGGAGACUGGAAUUCCUGGUGUAGCGGUGAAAUGCGCAGAUAUCGGGAAGAACACCCGUGGCGAAGGCGGGUUCACUGGGACGGUACUGACGCUGAGACGCGAAAGCGUGGGGAGCGAACAGGA
rnacentral:rRNA from 1 species